CCGGAAGUGCGGGGCGGGCGCGGGGGCUGAGCGAAAGGCUGAGGACCGGCCCAGGUGGGGAAGACGUCGCUGAUCCUGUCCCUGGUGGGCGAGGAGUUCCCCGAGGAGGUAAAGGGCACGCCCGCCGCGGGGGUGGGAGCGGGCCCAGCCGGGGGUCCCUGGUGAGCGCGCGGGUCCCUUGCAGGUCCCUCCCCGCGCGGAGGAGAUCACGAUCCCCGCGGACGUCACCCCGGAGAAGGUGCCCACCCACAUCGUGGACUACUCAGAAGCCGAGCAGACGGACGAGGAGCUGCGCGAGGAGAUCCACAAGGCAAACGUGGUGUGUGUGGUGUAUGACGUCUCCGAGGAGGCCACCAUUGAGAAGAUUCGAACUAAGUGGAUCCCACUGGUGAAUGGGGGGACCACGCGGGGGCCCAGUGGGCAACAAGUCAGACCUGCGGUCGGGGAGCUCCAUGGAGGCCGUGCUCCCCAUCAUGAGCCAGUUUCCGGAGAUCGAGACCUGCGUGGAGUGUUCGGCCAAGAACCUGAGAAACAUCUCAGAGCUGUUCUACUACGCCCAGAAGGCUGUCCUGCACCCCACAGCCCCUCUCUAUGACCCUGAGGCCAAGCAGGUGCCCCCGCCCCACCCUCAGUGCCCAGCCCCCUUGAACCUCCGCUGCUGUUAGUGACUGGAACGGGCCGUCUCCGGGUGGCUGGCUGACUCCCAACAACGUUCUCUCGGAAGCAGAAAUCCUGCUUUGGGCACCCCCUGGCCCCACAGGCCCUGGAGGACGUGAAGACGGUGGUGUGCAGGAACGUGGCGGGCGGCGUGUGGGAGGACCGACUGACCCUGGAUGGUGAGGCUGGGUGCCCGCCUGUGCCUGGGGAGUGUGGGGAGGGGGCUGUGCCUGGUGCUCCCCCUGCUCUGUCUCGGUGCAGGUUUCCUCUUCCUGAACACGCUCUUCAUCCAGCGCGGGCGGCACGAGACCACGUGGACCAUCCUGCGGCGCUUCGGCUAC
rnacentral:sRNA from 1 species